rnacentral:tRNA from 1 species
GCGAGGAUGGCGGAAUCUGGCAGACGCGCUGGAUUUAGGAUCCAGUCCUGAAAAGGGUGGGGGUUCAACUCCCCCUCCUCGCA